rnacentral:ncRNA from 1 species
UUAUUGGAGAGUUUGAUCCUGGCUCAGGACGAACGCUGGCGGCGUGCCUAAUACAUGCAAGUCGAGCGAAUCUGAGGGAGCUUGCUCCCGAAGAUUAGCGGCGGACGGGUGAGUAACACGUGGGUAACCUGCCUGUAAGAUUGGGAUAACUCCGGGAAACCGGAGCUAAUACCGGAUAACAUUUCGAACCGCAUGGUUCGAAGUUGAAAGGUGGCUUUUGCUACCACUUACAGAUGGACCCGCGGCGCAUUAGCUAGUUGGUGAGGUAACGGCUCACCAAGGCGACGAUGCGUAGCCGACCUGAGAGGGUGAUCGGCCACACUGGGACUGAGACACGGCCCAGACUCCUACGGGAGGCAGCAGUAGGGAAUCUUCCGCAAUGGACGAAAGUCUGACGGAGCAACG